AGACAAGCAAACUGAGGCAAAUAGAGUGCUGAACUCUAUGGACUGCAGCAACAAAUACCGUGGACCUGUGCCUUCCAGUUGUUCAACCAAUGGAAAGCCCUGGCAACCACUGCAGAAACUGAGAAGAAACAGGCUGAGAAAUGUGUUUUCCCAGCUCCCUGUCUCCCUGCUGGAUCACUAUGGGCUCAACCAAAGGCCACAUCUCCUCUCAGGUGGACUGUCUACAUGGCUCCCUCUCUAGGCUCUAGUAACUACUACCUCCUCUCACUCCUUCAGACCUAGCAGUGCCUCAGCUUCCUGGGUUACUAGCCCCAGGGUACUGCACCAUCACUUGUUGCUUGCCCUAAACUCUGGUCAUACAUUUGCGUUAAGUUCAAACUUAUAAAAUUGCUAUUUUUGAAAGUCAAAAAUCAACAAAUAUUGGC
rnacentral:lncRNA from 1 species